UNGGCUCUUUGGGAACUGAUGCUAUAUC
rnacentral:piRNA from 1 species